rnacentral:rRNA from 1 species
CAUAUCAAUAAGCGGAGGAAAAGAAACCAACAGGGAUUGCCUCAGUAACGGCGAGUGAAGCGGCAAGAGCUCAAAUUUGAAAUCUGGCGCCCCGCCGGCGUCCGAGUUGUAAUUUGGAGAGGCAUCUUCAGGAGGGGGCCCGGCCUAUGUUCCUUGGAACAGGGCGUCGCAGAGGGUGAGAAUCCCGUUCUUGGCCGGACAGCCCCUCCGGUGUGCAGUGUCUUCUACGAGUCGAGUUGUUUGGGAAUGCAGCUCAAAAUGGGUGGUAAAUUUCAUCUAAAGCUAAAUAUGGGCGAGAGACCGAUAGCGCACAAGUAGAGUGAUCGAAAGAUGAAAAGCACUUUGAAAAUAGAGUCAAACAGCACGUGAAAUUGUUGAAAGGGAAGCGCUUGAGACCAGACUCGGCCAUGGACUAACAGCUGUCCCUUCUGGGCGGUGCACUUGUCCUUGGCCGGGCCAGCAUCGGUAGGGACGGCGGGACAAAGGCUGGGGGAAUGUGACUCCCUUUAAGAGUGUUAUAGCCCCCGGCGCCAUGCCGCCCGCCCCGACCGAGGACCGCGCUUCGGCUAGG